rnacentral:piRNA from 1 species
UGAAGCACAAACUUCCUAUUCUCGCUGCC